rnacentral:lncRNA from 1 species
UGCACCCUCUUAUUCUUCACGCAAGAAAAAUUUUUUACAUAAAUUUUUCUCAUAUUCAGAAGCUUUUCCACAUCCACAUCUGAUUUGUUUUGGAUUAAAAAUUGGUUGGUUUAAAUUUGAGUUUAAAUGAGUUUGAAUUUGAAUGAAAAUCUAGAGUCUAAAUUGAGUUGGACUCUUCUCUUCACGCCAUCACCUUUCUUCACACCAUCG